rnacentral:rRNA from 1 species
GGAUUGNANUGGAGGAACUCUGAUGCAGCGACGCCGCGUGAGCGAUGAAGCCCUCCGGGGUGUAAAGCUCUUUCGACGGGAACGAUAAUGACGGUACCCGAAGAAGAAGCUGCGGCUAACUACGUGCCAGCAGCCGCGGUAAUACGUAGGCAGCAAGCGUUGUUCGGAAUUACUGGGCGUAAAGAGUGUGUAGGCGGUGCUCGAAGUCUGUUGUGAAAUCUCCCGGCUCAACUGGGAGGGUGCGGCGGAAACUGGAGUGCUCGAGUGUGGGAGAGGUAAGCGGAAUUCCUGGUGUAGCGGUGAAAUGCGUAGAUAUCAGGAGGAACACCUGUGGUGUAGACAGCUUACUGGACCACGACUGACGCUGAUACACGAAAGCGUGGGUAGCAAACAGGAUUAGAUACCCUGGUAGUCCACGCCCUAAACGAUGCAUACUUGGUGUGAGCGAUUCAUUUCGUUCGUGCCGGAGCUAACGCGUUAAGUAUGCCGCCUGGGGAGUACGGUCGCAAGGCUGAAACUCAAAAAAAUUGACGGA